GACAGAGGUGCCGAGCGUUAGGCGGAAUCACUGGGCUUAAAGCGUGUGUAGGCGGCUUUUCAAGUCCCAUGUGAAAGCCCACGGCUUAACCGUGGAAGUGCAUGGGAAACUGGAAAGCUUGAGUACUUAAGAGGAUCGCGGAAUUCCCGGUGUAGAGGUGAAAUUCGUAGAUAUCGGGAGGAACACCAGUGGCGAAGGCGGCGAUCUGGACCAUGCUGACGCUGAGACACGAAAGCGUGGGUAGCAAACAGGG
rnacentral:rRNA from 1 species